rnacentral:rRNA from 1 species
UGGGGAAUCUUCCGCAAUGGACGAAAGUCUGACGGAGCAACGCCGCGUGAGUGAUGACGGCCUUCGGGUUGUAAAGCUCUGUUAAUCGGGACGAAUGGUUCUUGUGCGAAUAGUGCGAGGAUUUGACGGUACCGGAAUAGAAAGCCACGUCUAACUACGUGCCAGCAGCCGCGGUAAUACGUAGGUGGCAAGCGUUGUCCGGAAUUAUUGGGCGUAAAGCGCGCGCAGGCGGAUUGGUCAGUCUGUCUUAAAAGUUCGGGGCUUAACCCCGUGAUGGGAUGGAAACUGCCAAUCUAGAGUAUCGGAGAGGAAAGUGGAAUUCCUAGUGUAGCGGUGAAAUGCGUAGAUAUUAGGAAGAAAACCAGUGGAGAAGGCGACUUUCUGGACGAAAACUGACGCUGAGGCGCGAAAGCCAGGGGAGCGAACGGG